GCAUCUGAAAUCAAGCAGGAUCACCCGCUGAACUUAAGCAUAUCAAUAAGCGGAGGAGAAGAAAUUAACUAAGAUUGCCCUAGUAGCGGCNAGCGAAGCGGCAAGAGCCCAAACUGGAAAUCUUGCGUACCCCGUGCGCACGAAUUGUAAUCUAAAGGAUGUUCACUCAAAGGGNAGGUGGCGCCAGAAGUGUCUUCNAACGGACCGCCAGAGAGGGUGCCAGCCCCGUAUGUGGUGCCACCGCCUAACGAGUGGGUGUUCAACGAGUCGGGUUGUUUUCUAUUGCAGCCCUAAGUGGGAGAUAGACUUCUUCUAAGGCUAAAUAUAUAUGGGAAACCGAUAGCGAACAAGUACUGUGAAGGAAA
rnacentral:rRNA from 1 species